GUGCCAGCCGCCGCGGUAAUACGGAGGGGGCUAGCGUUGUUCGGAAUUACUGGGCGUAAAGCGCGCGUAGGCGGACAUUUAAGCCAGGGGUGAAAUCCCGGGGCUCAACCCCGGAACUGCCCUUGAUACUGGGUGUCUUGAGUUCGAGAGAGGUGAGUGGAAUUCCGGGUGUAGAGGUGAAAUGCGUAGAUAUUCGGAGGAACACCAGUGGCGAAGGCGGCUCACUGGCUCGAUACUGACGCUGAGGUGCGAAAGUGAGGGGAGCAAACAGGAUUAGAAACCCUUGUAGUCC
rnacentral:rRNA from 1 species